AGAACUUAAAGAAACUCAAGAAUCGUCAA
rnacentral:sRNA from 1 species